CUGUCAGAUUCCGCAGUUUGAGACGGAAGUAGAUUGAUACCCAGAUUUGAAAAUAACGGCUGACAUUCUUGAUGGACUACUGAAUUUUUUCGACACAAUUCACGCAAAUAACGGUCAAUACCAACAUAAUUGGUCCCGUCGUUUGACCGGAUCUCAACAAGGUGAUCAAAGCGCAAGAUAAUAUAUUUCAAAGAGCCUGAAAACGUGACAGAUUUCCACUUCUAGGUGCACAACUCUAGUUGAGAGGCACACAAACACAACGAUGUGCCCCUUGGUGACCAGGAAGGACAUAUGAAAAGGAUCUGUAUAUGGAUCGGAGUAGACCCUGUAUAUGGUUUCAUGAAGAUGUAAAUCAUGCACCAAUAGUUUGGGUUUUUCUUAUCAUCGGUUGCCCUUUUUGCAAACGGCCACCUAUACGCAUGCUUCCUCCAGCAUCCAGAAAUGGAAUGCAGUGCAGAAAUAAUGUGCUUCGUUCCAAAACAACUGCAGCGGCGGAACUUGCUUCCCUAUCAGACUGACCACGGUGCUUCUUGAAACCACAUUUGAUUUUGAAUUAGUUUAGGCAGUUGAAUCAAAUCCAUGAGGAGAUGUGCACCAUUGAUCCUCAGUCAGGGUAGAGAGAUUUGCUUGAUUGGCGCCACAAGUGCAGUCAAAGAUUAUUCGAAGACGUCCAAAAAAUCCAUGGAACUUGAUCCGAUCACGACUCAAGAAGAUGCAUCGCAUCUGAAAGCUUCAGAUUUCUACUAUUUCAAGAAUUUUGAUCACUUGCUUUUCUGAACUUACUCUACUUGAGAAUACAUUGCUUAAAAAAGUUUGGCUGCUUCUCUCAUGGAUAAAAUAACAUAUGCGGAGCCGUCUUAGUACCAUGCUACAAUACACAGCCGGUAGUAUCUGAUUGGCUGAAUCGGUUUUUCACGGAACACAAUGCGUUGUAAGUCACGAUUCGAUGGAAAAUGCCCAAAGGACUGGAGUACUUGGUCAGAACGGAGCCGGAGAAACAGCGAAAUGGUCUUUCAGCGAGACUGAUGAAGAAGCGGCUUAGUGAGGCAGAUAAAAAAAACAUUCGCUGCUGAUUCAUUCCACUUCGUGCAAUCCUUUUACAGCUUCAACGAGAGAAUUGCCAAGCGCCGGUUUGGAAUCACUAAACGGUAGUCUGUCUCCUGCUCCCAGAAAUGCUGCAAGGUUUGGUUCAGAUUCAUUUAAACAUGCAGGUUGACAAUGCUGUAGUUAAACUGUGUGGCUCCUGCUGCAUCGUACUGUCCUUCGACAAUCCAUCUGAAGAUCCACUAUAUGGCCGCUUUCGUUCCUGACUUGUCCUCCUACGAGAAGAGCAAGAAAAGAUUCAGUUCCUAGUAGGAUGUCUAUUGCGCUUGGGGGAUUGAAUUUCGGGUCUACCAGGUCUCCAAGAUGGUCGAGAAGCUUAAUAUUGGAAUAGUUGAACCGUUGAGAUGGGGUUGUGGUGGUUAAUAUUCCAAGAAUGUAAACUAUGGUGUUCAAAACUACGCUGUUGUUCAACUUAGGUGCUAGGAGCAAUGAAAACAGAUCACGCGUUGUUCCCAUUUCCUGAUGAAACAGGCGGUUUAUGUUUACGAACCAGAAUUCAUCAAGAGUCUAGCUGAAUCGUAACUAGGGUACUGAGACAUGGUACGGAGUUAACUGUCGGGUUAAAGAAAGGAAGCUACGCUAAAUAGCACAGAACGUCUAAUAAAAUAAAAAUAAAUAAAAAUCAC